rnacentral:rRNA from 1 species
GAUCCUGGCUCAGGACGAACGCUGGCGGCGUGCCUAACACAUGCAAGUCGAACGCAACUGUUUUGAAAGAUUUCUUCGGAAUGAAUUUGAUUUAGUUUAGUGGCGGACGGGUGAGUAACGCGUGAGUAACCUGCCUUCAAGAGGGGGAGUAACAUUCUGAAAAGAAUGCUAAUACCGCAUGACAUAUCGGAACCACAUGGUUCUGAUAUCAAAGAUUUUAUUCGCUUGAAGAUGGACUCGCG